rnacentral:rRNA from 1 species
GACAGAGGUGCCAAGCGUUAGGCGGAAUCACUGGGCUUAAAGCGUGUGUAGGCGGGUGCCUAAGUACCUUGUGAAAUCCCACGGCUCAACCGUGGAACUGCUGGGUAUACUGGGUGCCUUGGGUCAUCUAGGGGCUGCCGGAACAAAUGGUGGAGCGGUGAAAUGCGUAGAUAUCAUUUGGAACGCCAACGGCGAAAGCAGGCAGCUGGGGAUGCACCGACGCUGAGACACGAAAGCCAGGGGAGCAAACGGG